AGACCAUGAUGUCAAUGGGACUGCCAAUGGAAACGAGGGCUUUUUGUAAAAAGAACAGUGUGUGUGUGUGUGUGUGUGUGUGUGUGUG